UACGAAGGGGGCUAGCGUUGCUCGGAAUCACUGGGCGUAAAGGGUGCGUAGGCGGGUCUUUUAAGUCAGGGGUGAAAUCCUGGAGCUCAACUCCAGAACUGCCUUUGAUACUGAAGAUCUUGAGUUCGGGAGAGGUGAGUGGAACUGCGAGUGUAGAGGUGAAAUUCGUAGAUAUUCGCAAAGAACACCAGUGGCGAAGGCGGCUCACUGGCCCGAUACUGACGCUGAGGCACGAAAGCGUGGGGAGCAAACAGG
rnacentral:rRNA from 1 species